AAGUGAACACAGGCCAGUGACAGAGUCAGAACUGCAGCUGCAGCCCUUGGGCUGAGGCGCUGACUUGGCAACUUCCGUGGAUUUUAAACCUUCUGAAAAGCACUGAUUGUUUUUCUUUGUUCAGUUGAAAAGUCCCGCAGGCAAAGAUCAGAAGGGGACAGAAUGCAGAGACACCGUUUCGAGGUUUCGCCCGCCCUACCUGAGGGCCUGGCCUCGAUGACGUAGCCCGUGGUGGGCGUCCUGCCCGCGCGGCCCUCCGUCCACUGCAGGAAGACAAAUACAAACUGGACACGCUCAACACCUAAGAACUUGCUCGCCCACACUGAAUGCGUCCGCGUGCAGACGUUCAGGUAACACACGCCUUGGAAGGCGGGGCCAAAGGAGUCCUGAGCUGACGCCAGCUCUGAGCGUCCAGCACGGCUCGUCGGGAGUGCAGACCAAGCCCUGACCGGACGAAGGAGGCCCGAUACUCACCCUCGGCCGGCCCGGCCGUGACGCUGGCCCGCAGCUCGGGCCCGUAGGCGAUGGUCCGCGCUUGCACUCGGAAGAAGUAGGUCACCCCCUUGGUGAGGUCGCGCACCUUCAGCCAGCGCUGCCAGUUCCCCUUCACGUCCACCGUCACCACCUUGCUCACCCCUAGAGCCGCAGGGAAGGGCGAGAGGGGCCCUGAGCACCGCCUCUUCAGCUCUAAUGACCAGGAGGCCGCGAGGUUUGCUGAGGAAGCGUUUCUUACCACCGGGACUGUAAGUGGUGGCAAUGGCCGAUUUCCAGCACACGUAAGUGCCCUUAGAGUCUAAGCGUGGUAAGUGGGUGCUGACACGGGGAAGAACCACCCACAGCACGCGGGAGGAGGCCCCGGCUCACUGGCCACGUUGGGGCGGGGGAGAGAACCCCGGCGACAGGCACCAAGGUGGGGGCAGGCCCCCGACGUCUGGAGGGUCCCUCCCCACUUGGCUGGGAGCUGCACAAAGCCCUGUGUCACGUCGAAGGCGACCUCGGGCUUCCCAACUUAGUCGGGGGACAGAACGUGGAGGAGGAAGAUGGAGGAAGGCUCUGCGUGGGCUGCAGGCGGCCCCCCCACGGGGUCCACUCUGCGGCCUAAAGGCUUUGGCAACGCAUGACAACUUCAUCCACAGACCCUGAAACAUGACGAACCUGUCACCACAGAGAGUGGUAGUGACGCAGCCCCACAGACCUGUGCCGGUACAGAGACGCUUCCCUCAAACCCAGACGCUGAGCAGAUGUGAUGCUGGCUGUACUAGGUUUAAUUAGAAAAUAGAGGUUGGACACUUUGGCAGGGGGAUACAAACUGCAAAGUACACAAACGCAGCAUUUUCCAGAAGGGAAAAUAGGGUUCUUUGGUAAAACAAGUCUGAAAAUGAAGCAUUCAAACAAAAAAAGCUACAUAAGUUCUAGACUGCGGGACUUCUCAGAGCCUUCAACACACCGAUGUCUGUCGGGCACCUCUUGGAGGAGGGUGUCAGGCUGGGGCAAUUCCAGGACUUGUGAGUCAGCAGAGGUCGUGCAGAAGAGCCGCGCUGGGGGCCUGCUGUCCUGGGUCCGGCGUCUGCGCCACCGGGUCCCGUACACAGAGAACAGCCGUGCUUCCCAAGAACAAGGGGCCACCUGCCCUUGCUGCGACCGGCCGGUGUUAUCUGCACCUUGAAUCCUAGGGUGGCCUUGAUCUCAGAAGAGCCCAACAACGUGCGUCCUCGCUACAAAGUGGGUCCAGCUUUCAGAGUCAUCAAAGCAAAUUCCUCUGACCCUACAGGCCUCCAGAAGCCCUUCUAGUUGGCUUACUGUCUUCAUAUUGCGCCUUUUAUGAAACAUUUGUUCAGCGACAUGAUUCUCUUCCAAGUUGUUUUGGAGCAAUUUGGGCUGCUCUUGUGUGACUGGAGCUUUUCGGUAGAGAAGCAGGGCCACUUCUGCACAGAGAGGCCGCCCCUCAGCCGCAUCGCUCCAGAACGGGGUUUCAGGGAUGAGUCCACACCCAUGGUUGACUGUCACCAGUGAACACACGCGGGAUCCUGCCAGAUACAGUUUUCCUGGAGAGCAGCCCCUUCUUUUGUUAAAAAAUGCCCUCCUUCUCCUCAGAGCAAAACCAACCCUGUGCACAGAUCUUGUGAACUCUGUCCCGCCAAGAGGUGGAGCUGGUCUGCUUCCCUCCCCCUCCCCCAUCCCAACCACAUCAGCGUCUUAUUUAUUCAGUCAACUUUAAAACCAUGCCCUGCACUCCAAACCUCAGGGUGCAGUCGCCUGAAAUACUUCCAUUUCAAACACGUAAGAAAGCAUAAAAAUAGCUCUUCUAUGGAAUCA